GUAGGGAAUAUUGGGCAAUGGUCGGAAGACUGACCCAGCCAUGCCGCGUGCAGGAAGACGGUCCUCUGGGUUGUAAACUGCUUUUAUCUGGGAAGAAAAAGGCCAUGCGUGGCAAAUUGCCGGUACCAGAUGAAUAAGCACCGGCUAACUCCGUGCCAGCAGCCGCGGUAAUACGGAGGGUGCGAGCGUUGUCCGGAUUUAUUGGGUUUAAAGGGUGCGUAGGCGGCUGAUUAAGUCAGCGGUGAAAGACUUCGGCUUAACCGGAGCAGUGCCGUUGAUACUGGUUGGCUUGAGUGUCGGAGGGGUACAUGGAAUUGAUGGUGUAGCGGUGAAAUGCAUAGAUACCAUCAGGAACACCGAUAGCGAAGGCAUUGUACUGGCCGACAACUGACGCUGAUGCACGAAAGUGUGGGGAUCGAACAGGAUUAGAUACCCGUGUAGUCC
rnacentral:rRNA from 1 species